UCAUAGUUCAUAGUGGUUUGCUUAGUUUCUGUGCUGCAUGUAUUACACACACAGACAUACUAGGAAUGAGCUCUCCCAAGAAAACUUCCCUGACUUCCCAGGAGAAGUUGAGUGAUUUGUAAAAUCUACUAACACUGUAUGAUUUGAGCUUCUCCUUCCUUUCCUUUUUUCUUCAAGCACGGCCCCCGUGUUUUUUUCAGUCACAGAUAGAUACCUUUGUUUUGUGCUGUCUCAACUUUUUCUACCUUGACUCCUUAUAUUUCCAUUCCUGUGUCUCUGCAUGAUCACAUUUUUCAGAAUCAUAGAAUCAUCAAGUUUUUGAACAAGGUUAUAUUUUCCCGCAUAUCUAUCUCAUCUUUCACUACUUCAUGAUAGUCUCUAUCUCUCCACCUUGUACUUUUCCCUCUUCACAGUUAAAAAUAUUCUUCAGUUUCUUCAUGCUUAAUAAAUUUUUAAAAAACUGUCAAAAACCUGCUUCUCCAAAUGCCAUUCUUGCUGCCUUAUUUUAUUUUUUAAGCUGCAGAAUAUAUUCUUAAUAGAAUAUAUUAGUUAGUUGUGAAGAUUUGUUGUCACUAAUUUUCUUUUAUUUCUAGAUUCCUUUCUCCUGUUCAAUUCUUGCAUUCUACGACAUCUGCUCUAAACAAAGUUUGUAAUGGUGCUGACUUUUUAGCCAAAAUUUCACGGUAGUACUUUGUUCUCAGCCUGCCCUUGAUCUGGUGUCAGGCCUUACUUUUCUAUUAUUGAUGGUUCUCUGUCCUUAAAUCUUAACAUUGCUAGGCUUCCAUUAUUGCAUUCCUCAUAUUUCUCCUUUUAAACUUUUUGUUCUUCCUGUUUUACUUUUUUCCCUCUAGAGAGUCCAAGUGUUCCCACCUUCAUUCUGCUGUAGAGCCCAACAAAUCAUUAUGGAUCCUCUUCCUUCUUACCUCACCUCACCACCUAAUUCAAACACAUUCAACAGCUCUUCCUGUGCAAAGACCACCUCUUUGCUUCAGAUCCCUCUCCUUCUCCUGAGCAGCUCUUCAUGUAUCCCUGCUCAUCUAUUCUGUUCAGAAACAAAGUUCUUCAACUUUCUGUUUCCAGUGCUCACAAGCUCUCUCCACUUCUAUUUUUUUCUCUGUCAUGGUCUCCACUACCCUUCAACCAAUAAAUUAGAAAUAAAAACUUCAAGCACUAGACAGAGUGUUUAAGUGUAUUAAAUAUAAAGAAUUCAAUAUCAGGCUGUAGUAGAAAAAAAACAUUUCUUGGUACCAACACCAGGGAUCUUUGUGAUUAGCACUGUGGUCAUAGGACAUGAAGAUACAGCUCAAUCUGUGACACGUUAUAACUAUAUUUGUCUAAAGAAAGAAGCCAUUGCUACUCUGAAUAGAAAAUCUUUUUUCCUAAUAGCUAGUCACAACAAAUUCAUUCCAGACUUUUGAUUUUGUAAAAGAGAAACUGUUAUAAAAAGACUUCAGAUGUUCUUUACAGAAGCCCUCAGAAAAAAAUAGAAGAGCCAGCAGUUCUCUCAACCAGAAAAUCUGAACAUGAACUUUAUUAAUAUUCUUAAUAAUCAGAAAGCAAUUAGUGGAGUGCCAUAGUUACACUGGAAUAAUUACUGUAAAUGGAAAUUAUACAAUUUUUUAGAAGUUAUACACACAUAUAUUUUAUAGCUAGAAAACACACACAAGACUGUUGUGCACAGACCCUCAGUAGAAAACUGGGCAAUUGUCUGUGCCUGCAUUCAUUUGCAGACAGCACAGCCAAGGGUCAUUAGUUUAAUAGGAUAUUGGUUUUUUCUGUCUCUCUAAAACGUCUGUUGAAACAUCCUCCCAGGAGCCAAAUUGAAGAGGUGAGGAAAUAAACAGCAACUGACAGCUUUGAUCACUGACAGCCAGAGAUCCAUUCAGCCCAGAAAGUACUGUAGGGUAGGAAUCAGAAAAAGCAGUCACAGAGUAAGGAAAUAACGACCCUACAAAUGAGCAUGUUCAAUGCCUGAGGUAAACACACUCUGAACAAAGGCUGCAACCAACGAAGACAAUAUAGAGGACCACAGAUGAAAAGGAAGUACAGAGAGGCACUUUAUGGAUCAUACAAUGAGAGUAAUGGCACCCUCAGGAGUGAAUGUGGAGGUGGAAAGAGGUUAAGAAAAUUAGGAAGAAGCUUCUGGGUUACAUACACACAUGGGUUAAGAAAUGAACGAAGGAUUUCAGCAAAAGAGAGGGCAGUGGAUAUCAUUUGAGUAAUUUCAUUUAGUAUUUGAUUUACCAAUUAUCUUUUUUAGCCAGCAACACGGUUUGAGCUCCAGUAUGAUGCCUCUGUGUCUGUGGAGAGAUAUAAAAGCGAUUGAUUGCUGCAGAACUUGUUGCCUUCCCUACAGUGUGAGGGGGAAUCACAGGGACAGCUGGGAGUGAUUUAUGAUUGUUACAGUGUCACUGCCAAACCAAAGGUGAAAUUGGGAUGAUUCCCCUUCCUCUGAUAAAAUUCUGCCUUUUUCAAGGUAGUAGUAAACAAUCUAUGCCAGAGAUGAGUCACCUCUCAGGGAGAUGAAAUGAUGCUGAAGAACUUUCUCAGGACUUCAGAAUGGAUUGUUUCACAUUUUUGUCAGGUAUUUUCAAAGCGUUUUCAAGGGAGUUAUAUCUGGAAGCCUUAACUGGGUUUUAUUCUCAUCCAUGUUCGAGCUUUGCAACUGGAGAGAUUGAGCUAUUCCAUAAUUAUAUAUUAAAAUAUCCAAAUGGUAUAUCUAGAGAAGACUUUUCUUCAAGUUGAGAUUUAAAGCCCUAAAGCAUCUCUGACAACUGCUGUUCAUUCUUUCCUCCACAUUGUCAGGACAAAGCAGUUUUGUUGAACCAGGAAAAAAAACAAACUUCAGAGUAUUUCCUCUUUUUUGACACAGGAGGGAAGUCCACAAUUAUCCUAUGAAAUACAAAAAUAAGCAAUGACCUGGAAAAUGGAGACUUUCUGCAUGUGGUUUGGAGAAUGCAGUAAGAUCACAAAUAAUCCCCUUCUUGAAAGAGCUGUGGAGUAACUCCCCACCAGAGCUGUCCAUACACUUUUGUAUUACCCCAUCUCUGUCAGUGAGAAAACAGUUUCAGAUUGCUGACAUCCAGCAAAACUGUACUGUGUAUGCAUUAUGAAAUGAUCCUGAAAAAGUGGAGCUGAUGCUUGACAUUGUGCACACCUGCACGUUAGGGGAACAGAGCCUUCCUGUCCUUGAGUGUGCCCACAUCCUGUGCAGGUGCUUGGAGAGGGAUGCAUACACAACUGAUCUUCUCCAGGAAGACUGGAAAAUUAACUCUGACAGAGAAGUUUGCAGUUAAUAAUACUACUCAUCUUCAGCUGAUAGAGAUGUCUCUCAUGCACUGAGACUGAUUUGGGGAUCCUGUAGAAAUGCUAUUGCCUGCUUUCGCUCUUAAUUUAACACAGAAAUGAUUUCUAGAACCACUCAGUGCUUGGGUCAGUGUCAGAAUGCAAAGUAAAAAGGCCAAAAGUCAAUUACUUGAAAUGCCUAAAAAUAAUGUCAUUUCAGUCCUUGAGUUUGUGAAGGAGGUCUGACUGUUAGCUGUGGGAAACUACUGAACUCAAGCUGAUGAGAGCCUCCAGUCACUGAAGCCUGACAAAAGGCCACCUUGGCCUGAAGGAAAUAAACUUGUGAAAGUUGCAUCAAGAAGGCUUUCUUCAAUCUUAUUUCUUGAAAAAAGUCACCCGUAAUGUUCUCUAAUAAAUGAAAAUACAGAGUGGGAAUAAUUCUGUUAAACCAUUAAUUGUAUCAUCUUGCUGUAGUUAGAGUGACGUAUUAUCUCCUGGGCAGAGCUAGGGUGUUUAGGGGACACGGUUUCCCUGUGUCCAGCCCUUGUGUUGAAGUGCUCAGAAAUGCAAAAAGGUCUAUUCCUCACAAUGAACAGGGUUUAUUUUAAACAAAGCAAUGCCUUACUCUUUGUUUCUGCAGCAAUGACCAAGGAGCAACUCAAUUCCUUUGCAAUUUGCCUGUGUCCUUAAGGUAGUGCCACCAGCUGGUUAUCUUCAUUCUGCUGUAGAUUGUGACAGAGAUAUCAAUAGAGCAUCACGUCCUGUUUCCUGCAAAAAGACUGGAGAUUCAACAUGCCACAGAGAGGAGGAAGACUAUAUAGAUUAUUUUUCUUUUUUUUUUUCACCCAGGGCAGUGAGGGUGCAUUUCUCACCUACCCACUCCCUAAAAAAUACUGAUUGUGUGCUCGGCUCGUCAGGAUACAUCUCUGGAGAGUGCAGCAAUGUCACCUUUUUGGGUAUGGGCUCCUGGAUCAUUAGGGCUUUUAAGAAAGAUGAGGACAAAAUAAUCCUUCCCACUGUGAGAUGUCACUGUCUCUGUAUGGCCUCUGUGCAGACCUGAAGCUCCCUGUAAACCCCACAAAGGACCUGUUAAACUGGUAAUUGUUAUUUCCAAUUCAAUAUUUCUACAACUAAGCCAUUGAAACAGUAGCAUUUGCAGUAUUUCUGUAAGUGCUUAGAGAUGAUCUCAUUGUAAAAGAUACAUCAUAAAAACAAAUAUGACUCUGCUUUACCCAGAACCCACCUAUUUUUGGCUUUUAAUUGUAGAUUAUAUGACUUCUGCCUGACACAUUGUGGAGGUCAUAACAAGAAGGAAACAUUCUCAACAUAUUCCUUAAUAUGCUCUUCAUGGAACAUUUAGAUCAAUACACAUGGCACAAUACGCACUGUAUAUUUUUUGUCUUUUUUUUUAGAAAGUGUUGAGGGGAUGACAUAGGGAAUAGAGUGAAGCUUAUCAUUAACAGAGCUAGAAUAUGUCCCAUCUGAAACCCAGGUGGGUUUGGCAGAUGGAUAUAAAGUAGUAAACGGAAUAUAUCAGUACAGUGUGCAAGCUGGUGAGAGCUAACUGCCUGAGUUAUUUUUGUUCAGUUGAGCUGAUUGCUAUUUUCUAUAAUGAUAAAUGAAUUUAAUCUUCCAGAUUUUAAAUUGGUAGAUUCCUCUGAAUUUUUAUCAUUUAAAAAAUAAAUUAAAACCAUUUAGAAAUUAAUGUAAUCAGGUCAAGGAAAAAAAAAAGUAGAAAAUGAAAAAUACUACUUUUAUUAUAUAUACAAAAUAUAUUUUAUAUUUUAUAUAUAUUUAAAGUUGCAACAUAUUAUAUUUCUAAAUACACAUUGAAUUGACAAGUUAUUAUCAGAGUUACAGAUCUACUAAAAACUUGUAGAAGAAUAGAGAAGAGUACUAUAAAAAGCACAAUUAGCCUAUAUUGCCAUAAAGAAAACAGUCUUUAAGAUAGCAAACCUCACUUUUUUGUUUUGGGGCCAUUUCGUUUUUGUCACUGUGGUAACAAUCAGCUUUUAGAUAGUCAAUUUCCUUAUUCACAGUAAAUGAACCUACUUGAAGUAAGUAUCGUAUAAAAUGGGUGAAAAAUGUAAAGAAAUUGUCAUGCUCUAUCUUUUUGUCCUGUCCUCAACUCUGAGUUCUCCCGCUGCUCAGGUACCCAUUAUCUUCGUUUGUAGAAGUCUGGUUUUGCCAUUUCCUGAUGCAAAGAGUUAUAACUCCAAACACGGGGCAAAUGUUAGAUGUUUUGUGAAAGUGGGAGAGCCAUCAUGGAGGUUUAGAAGUAAAGAUUUCACAGACAGGGUUCAUAUGCACAUACCUGCAUGUCAUUCUCAGGCUGAGGGUUGGGACAGCCCAUAACCACAUUCCAGUCUCAGCUGCAUCCUAGAAUAAUUCUGUUUCUGCCGAAAGUUUGUUUUCUUUUCAGCUCAUUCCUGCCUCUGCUGUGUGGUUUUUGCUCAUUACUGCAAGGUACUAGUAGGCAGGCAGCAAAGCUUACAUUUUGGGGAAGGGUUACUCUGUCAUUUCUUCAGUCACAGCAGAAUGCAAUGCAGCUUUUGGAUUCAGCUGUCUGCUUAUUUGUUUAAUAAAAUACUGAACUUCAGUUUUCUGAAUGUUUGUUUAAGAUUCAAAAGCCUCGUAUGAACAAGGAGUCACCUUUGGUGACAAA